UACGUAGGGGGCAAGCGUUAUCCGGAUUUACUGGGUGUAAAGGGAGCGCAGACGGCUGUGCAAGUCUGAUGUGAAAGGCUGGGGCUCAACCCCGGGACUGCAUUGGAAACUGUAUGGCUUGAGUGCCGGAGGGGUAAGCGGAAUUCCUGGUGUAGCGGUGAAAUGCGUAGAUAUCAGGAGGAACACCGGUGGCGAAGGCGGCUUACUGGACGGCAACUGACGUUCAUGCUCGAAAGCGUGGGGAGCAAAC
rnacentral:rRNA from 1 species